CCCACCAGUUAUAACCCCAUGGUGGGGCGUAUUUAUGGUGGGAGAAGGCAACACGGUACAGAUUUGGAACUACACAUAUAGAACAACAACAGUCCAGGAUCAGCUGCUAUCGCUGUCAGUGGUGCCUUUCAGAUUCGGUUUAUUUUAUUUGGAGUGGGGUAGACAAAAAACUUCAAAAUGGACGCCAUUAAGAAGAAGAUGCAGGCCAUGAAGAUGGAGAAGGAUAGCGCCAUGGACAAGGCCGACACUUGUGAAGGCCAGUCCAAGGAUGCGAACCUUCGUGCAGACAAAGUUAAUGAAGAUGUGAGAGAUUGUCAAAAGAAAUUGACCCAGGUAGAAAGUGAUCUGGACACAAACAAGAAUAAGUUGGAAGAGGCCAUCAAACAGUUAGAGGACAGAGAAAAGGCACUUACUGCGGCUGAAAGUGAAGUAGCUGCUUUGAACAGGAAAGUCCAGAUGAUUGAAGAAGACCUUGAAAGAUCAGAAGAAAGGUCUCAAGCUGCUGCAUCGAAAUUGGCUGAGGCUUCUCAAGCAGCUGAUGAAUCUCAACGUAUGUGCAAAGUACUCGAAAACCGUAGCCAGCAAGACGAGGAACGUAUGGACCAAUUGACUAACCAAUUAAAGGAAGCUCGUCUCUUAGCUGAAGAUGCUGACGGAAAAUCUGAUGAAGUUUCGAGGAAACUUGCUUUUGUUGAAGAUGAACUUGAAGUAGCAGAGGAUCGUGUGAAAUCUGGAGACUCGAAAAUCAUGGAGCUGGAAGAAGAAUUGAAAGUUGUCGGAAACAGCUUGAAGUCAUUGGAAGUUUCUGAAGAAAAGGCCAAUCAACGAGUGGAAGAGUACAAGCAUCAAAUCAAACAACUCACUGUAAAAUUAAAGGAGGCUGAAGCUCGUGCUGAAUUCGCCGAGAAGACCGUUAAGAAACUGCAGAAGGAAGUUGACAGACUUGAAGAUGAUCUCUUCAAAGAGAAAGAAAAAUCCAAAGAAAUCACGGAUGACUUGGAUUCGACAUUUGCUGAACUCACUGGCUACUAACCAAAUACAAAUUCUGCAUAGCCUUCACUUUGUUUUCUUCUUGUUUUUUUAUGUUCGAGUUUUGUCAUAAACCAACGUAGCUUUUUGUAAAAAUAAUGCUUUUUUAUUUUUUUUUUCACAUAAUUUUGCUUUUUUGUCGUUUUAAUAUGUUUUGUCUCCAGUUGUUGCUGUACAAAUUCGCUUCUAUAACUGCCAGAUGAACUCGGCCUCAACAAAGACAGAUACAAGUCUUUGGCUGACGAGAUGGACUCCACAUUUGCUGAAUUGGCUGGAUAUUAACCCUCUAGACUUAGCCACAAUUUCAAAGGAAUUUACAUUUAAAGUAAAUAAUUACCCAAUGAUUUUAUCAAAUAAUAUUACCAUCAUCAAUUCUAUUAAUAAACCAAAAGAAUAUUACAUUAAAUUAUUACUGUUAGAUUAUUUAUUGUUUGAACCAGUGCAUACAUAGGUAUAUAUUAAUACAUUAUAUAUAUAAAUGUAUUAUGUGUGAACUUAUUAACAAAUUAACAAUUUACACUUUACAAUUUUACCUGUAUUCUAGCUUUAUUAUUAUAGUUUAAUGUACAAUAAUUAUCUAGUCUUAUGUUCUAAGUUGCCUAGCCUUUAUGACAUAUUAUAAUAUUUAUAUCGCAUAUGUACACAUUAUGUCUUAAAUUUUUCAUUGGAUUAAUUUAUAAACAUAUAUUAUACAUACAUACAUAUACAUAUACAUAGAUGUUCAACAUAUUUAUAUAUAUAUAUACAAUGUUACGGGAAAUAUUUGUACAUUGAUCUAUAAUAAAUUAACUUCUUGCGUAUAAAUAUAUAUGUUUAUUGAACAUCUGUAUGUAUAUAAACAUAAUAUGUACAAAAUAUUAUUAUUUAGGUUAAUUUAUUAUUUAACUUAUUAUUAAGGGAUUCGUUAUAGGCUUAUAUACAAAGCAUCUAUGGUUAUAUUUAAUAAUUAAUAAUUAUAAACGUUAAUUGUUAAGAAAUAUAAAUCAUAAUAUUAUUUCACAAGGUAGGUGAUUUUGAAGAUUAAUAUCUUUAUUUCAAUGGCAAAUAUUAAACACUUUAACUUACUUCAGUUAAUAAUUGGAAAACUGAUAACGCAUGUUUUUUGAUGAACAGUCGGUUAGUAUCUAACUUUGUCAUGUACUUUAUAAUAUUAUUAAUUUUAUGAUCAUUAUUCAUGUAAAUAAUAAAUGAAUACGAGUCAAGCUAGUCAUAUAGAAACAAUAUUGUUGAAUUCGACACGUUGGUAAAUAAAUUCGUAUUUAGACUUUUGAA